rnacentral:rRNA from 1 species
UUAAGCGACUAAGCGUACACGGUGGAUGCCCUGGCAGUCAGAGGCGAUGAAGGACGUGCUAAUCUGCGAUAAGCGUCGGUAAGGUGAUAUGAACCGUUAUAACCGGCGAUUUCCGAAUGGGGAAACCCAGUGUGAUUCGUCACACUAUCAUUAACUGAAUCCAUAGGUUAAUGAGGCGAACCGGGGGAACUGAAACAUCUAAGUACCCCGAGGAAAAGAAAUCAACCGAGAUUCCCCCAGUAGCGGCGAGCGAACGGGGAGCAGCCCAGAGCCUGAAUCAGUGUGUGUGUUAGUGGAAGCGUCUGGAAAGGCGUGCGAUACAGGGUGACAGCCCCGUACACAAAAAUGCACAUACUGUGAGCUCGAUGAGUAGGGCGGGACACGUGGUAUCCUGUCUGAAUAUGGGGGGACCAUCCUCCAAGGCUAAAUACUCCUGACUGACCGAUAGUGAACCAGUACCGUGAGGGAAAGGCGAAAAGAACCCCGGCGAGGGGAGUGAAAAAGAACCUGAAACCGUGUACGUACAAGCAGUGGGAGCACGCUUAGGCGUGUGACUGCGUACCUUUUGUAUAAUGGGUCAGCGACUUAUAUUCUGUAGCAAGGUUAACCGAAUAGGGGAGCCGAAGGGAAACCGAGUCUUAACUGGGCGUUAAGUUGCAGGGUAUAGACCCGAAACCCGGUGAUCUAGCCAUGGGCAGGUUGAAGGUUGGGUAACACUAACUGGAGGACCGAACCGACUAAUGUUGAAAAAUUAGCGGAUGACUUGUGGCUGGGGGUGAAAGGCCAAUCAAACCGGGAGAUAGCUGGUUCUCCCCGAAAGCUAUUUAGGUAGCGCCUCGUGAAUUCAUCUCCGGGGGUAGAGCACUGUUUCGGCAAGGGGGUCAUCCCGACUUACCAACCCGAUGCAAACUGCGAAUACCGGAGAAUGUUAUCACGGGAGACACACGGCGGGUGCUAACGUCCGUCGUGAAGAGGGAAACAACCCAGACCGCCAGCUAAGGUCCCAAAGUCAUGGUUAAGUGGGAAACGAUGUGGGAAGGCCCAGACAGCCAGGAUGUUGGCUUAGAAGCAGCCAUCAUUUAAAGAAAGCGUAAUAGCUCACUGGUCGAGUCGGCCUGCGCGGAAGAUGUAACGGGGCUAAACCAUGCACCGAAGCUGCGGCAGCGACGCUUAUGCGUUGUUGGGUAGGGGAGCGUUCUGUAAGCCUGUGAAGGUGUGCUGUGAGGUAUGCUGGAGGUAUCAGAAGUGCGAAUGCUGACAUAAGUAACGAUAAAGCGGGUGAAAAGCCCGCUCGCCGGAAGACCAAGGGUUCCUGUCCAACGUUAAUCGGGGCAGGGUGAGUCGACCCCUAAGGCGAGGCCGAAAGGCGUAGUCGAUGGGAAACAGGUUAAUAUUCCUGUACUUGGUGUUACUGCGAAGGGGGGACGGAGAAGGCUAUGUUGGCCGGGCGACGGUUGUCCCGGUUUAAGCGUGUAGGCUGGUUUUCCAGGCAAAUCCGGAAAAUCAAGGCCGAGGCGUGAUGACGAGGCACUACGGUGCUGAAGCAACAAAUGCCCUGCUUCCAGGAAAAGCCUCUAAGCAUCAGGUAACAUCAAAUCGUACCCCAAACCGACACAGGUGGUCAGGUAGAGAAUACCAAGGCGCUUGAGAGAACUCGGGUGAAGGAACUAGGCAAAAUGGUGCCGUAACUUCGGGAGAAGGCACGCUGAUACGUAGGUGAAGCGACUUGCUCGUGGAGCUGAAAUCAGUCGAAGAUACCAGCUGGCUGCAACUGUUUAUUAAAAACACAGCACUGUGCAAACACGAAAGUGGACGUAUACGGUGUGACGCCUGCCCGGUGCCGGAAGGUUAAUUGAUGGGGUUAGCGCAAGCGAAGCUCUUGAUCGAAGCCCCGGUAAACGGCGGCCGUAACUAUAACGGUCCUAAGGUAGCGAAAUUCCUUGUCGGGUAAGUUCCGACCUGCACGAAUGGCGUAAUGAUGGCCAGGCUGUCUCCACCCGAGACUCAGUGAAAUUGAACUCGCUGUGAAGAUGCAGUGUACCCGCGGCAAGACGGAAAGACCCCGUGAACCUUUACUAUAGCUUGACACUGAACAUUGAGCCUUGAUGUGUAGGAUAGGUGGGAGGCUUUGAAGUGUGGACGCCAGUCUGCAUGGAGCCGACCUUGAAAUACCACCCUUUAAUGUUUGAUGUUCUAACGUGGACCCGUGAUCCGGGUUGCGGACAGUGUCUGGUGGGUAGUUUGACUGGGGCGGUCUCCUCCUAAAGAGUAACGGAGGAGCACGAAGGUUGGCUAAUCCUGGUCGGACAUCAGGAGGUUAGUGCAAUGGCAUAAGCCAGCUUGACUGCGAGCGUGACGGCGCGAGCAGGUGCGAAAGCAGGUCAUAGUGAUCCGGUGGUUCUGAAUGGAAGGGCCAUCGCUCAACGGAUAAAAGGUACUCCGGGGAUAACAGGCUGAUACCGCCCAAGAGUUCAUAUCGACGGCGGUGUUUGGCACCUCGAUGUCGGCUCAUCACAUCCUGGGGCUGAAGUAGGUCCCAAGGGUAUGGCUGUUCGCCAUUUAAAGUGGUACGCGAGCUGGGUUUAGAACGUCGUGAGACAGUUCGGUCCCUAUCUGCCGUGGGCGCUGGAGAACUGAGGGGGGCUGCUCCUAGUACGAGAGGACCGGAGUGGACGCAUCACUGGUGUUCGGGUUGUCAUGCCAAUGGCACUGCCCGGUAGCUAAAUGCGGAAGAGAUAAGUGCUGAAAGCAUCUAAGCACGAAACUUCGACCCCGAGAUGUACGUUCUCCCUGAACCCGUUUAAGGGUCCUAGAAGGAACGUUGAAGACGACGACGUUGAUAGGCCGGGUGUGUAAGCGCAGCGAUGCGUUGAGCUAACCGGUACUAAUGAACCGUGAGGCUUAACCUU